GUGCUCACUUAGGCAUCACACGUACUAAAAGUAGAGCCCUGCGAAGAGUAGCAUGGCCCCUGCACAGGGAUGACGUGUGAAUUUGUGAAGCAUUCCGUAUUUCU
rnacentral:snRNA from 1 species